GUCCUCUGGUUUGAGAAUCAAUGCCUCAACAAAGAACAGGAGAAUGCAGGUUAGGAACAGGACGACACAGGUUAGCCACAGAUAAGGAACAGUUAAGAACAGGAGGACACAGGCUAUGUACAGGUUAGGAACAGGUGGACACAUGUAAGGAACAGGUAAGGAAGAGGUUGAUGCAGGUAAGGAACAUGUGAACACAGGUUAGGUGCAGGUAAGGAACGGGUAAACGCAGGAAGUGGACGCAUAUUAGGAAAAGGUGUACGCAGUUUAGGAACAGGUGUAUGCAGGCCUUAGAAUAUGGUUAUUAUUACCAUGUUAUUCUUUUUACUUGUUUUCUUAGAAAGAAAUCGAGGCAGCACCAAACUAUUUAAAAAAUGAAUUAAAUUGGAAACAGUUCAAGGACCGAAGCUGCAGGAUUCAGCAAUGUCUUCAGCUUACCGUUGAAUAGCUUGCUUUUGCCUUCAUGUACUCGCCUUUGAGGAACAACUGGUCCCCCUCAGCCAUAUAGGUCUGGAAUGUGCUCCGGGGUCCUUGGUCAACUUCUAAGUCUGACAUUUGCAUGCAGAAUUUCUGUUACAUAUAAUAAUAAUAAUAGACUAGUUUGGCGUAGUUAGCCUUACCUCACUUAAAAGUUUAGGUCAAUGGUCUGGUGUCCUAGCAACCGCACUAACACGAACGGUGAUCGACCAACGCCCUCUUGUGGUCAUCUAGAUGCAAGUAUGAUUUAAAUAACCGAUAAGCGCCUGAAUGCCAACCAUGGGGUAAGUUACAUGACAUUAUAACGUAGGCUACCACUCUAAACACUUGCCUAUGUAUGUGUACUUCUCUUUGAAAUAUCUAUUUGAUUAUAUUUUGGUAGCUUAUGAAUUGAUGUGCAUAGCUUGGUAUCAAUCAUUUCCAUUGCUCAUAACCUACUACUAAUUUAAUAAAUUAAAUAUUACAUAUAGGCUAUAGCUAAUACAAACUAUAGGGUAACAAUCAAGCAGGCUGUAGUUAUAAAUCAAGACCAAAGACCAGAGUUGAGGAGUUACUUCAGAGUUCCACUUUAUUUCCAUGUUUGAUAAUGUCUCAGUCAGUUGAUUUCUUUGCUACCAAAGCAAAAAGGAGGAUACUGUCCUACUACAUUAGGAACGCCAAGUGAAUGAAACACUCAAAACUCAACAUUAGUAAGCAACUGUAGAGUUUAAAUUAUAGGGUGCCAUAAUUAUGUAACUUCAGACAAUUAGCAAAACCUUCUUCCGUGUACUUCAAAUGUAAAUACAGAUUGAUGGUCAUCUGUAAAAGAGAAACAAAAAAAAUCAGGAGUCUGCGUCACAUUUGAGGAAUAUAGUCAGCACAUGAACCACAUUAGUGUAAAACAAGCAAAGCCUAAUUGUAUCUCCUGAGUUUAUUCCAGUCAUGCUUGCUUAUCACAGGUGUCCAACCCAACUUUUACACUCAAGAGUCGACAGAUUUUUCUUUUACAAUAAAUAUACAUAUUAUCAAAAUAAAAAAGGGCUACUAACCAUCAUAAAUAAACACUUUACAUUC